rnacentral:lncRNA from 1 species
CCAUAGGUUUCAACCUAAGUUUGUAAUAAACCAUAAGUUUCAACUAAGUAUAUUUAUGGUUUAAAAACUAAGUAUAUUUUAGCUCAUCCAUCCAUUUGAUAGUUUGUAGUAAACCAUGCGUUUCACCUUCCUUGACCAAUAAUAACAUAUAUGUAUCCCUUUAUAAUGAUACUCCCUUUAUAAUGAUGUCCUAGAUACAUAAUAUAUA